rnacentral:RNase_P_RNA from 1 species
CCAGUCGGUUGGACGACCGCGCGGACAAGGGGCGAAAGCCCGUCCGGGAGGAAAGUCCGGGCUCCACGGAAACACGGUGCCGGGUAACGCCCGGCGAGGGCGACCUCAGGGAAAGUGCCACAGAGAUCGAACCGCCCCGGUGCGCCGGGGUAAGGGUGAAAAGGUGGUGUAAGAGACCACCGCGGGCCCGGUAACGGGACCGGCAGGGCAAACCCCACCGGGAGCAAGACCGAAUAGGGAUGACGCGGGCUUCGGCCCAGCCCGUUUCCGGGUCAGUCGUCCGGGUUGGUUGCACGAGGCGUUCGGCGACGGACGUCCCAGAUGAAUGGUCGUCGGGCGGGAAACCGCUCACAGAACCCGGCUUACAGACCGACUGGCCUU